rnacentral:rRNA from 1 species
UACGUAGGGUCCGAGCGUUGUCCGGAUUUACUGGGCGUAAAGGGCGUGCAGGCGGUUCGUUUAGUCCAGGGUGAAAGCUCCCGGCUUAACUGGGAGAGGUCCUUGGAUACUGGCGGACUAGAGGAGGGUAGAGGAGAGUGGAAUUCCCGGUGUAGUGGUGAUAUGCGUAGAUAUCGGGAGGAACACCAGUGGCGAAGGCGGCUCUCUGGGCCCUACCUGACGCUGAGACGCGAAAGCGUGGGGAGCGAACCGG